rnacentral:tRNA from 1 species
UUGACGAGGCCGUCGCAGGAGAGCAGCACCGCGCUUCUGGUGUGCGGGACGCGCUGUACGAGGCCGCUCAUCAGCC